rnacentral:rRNA from 1 species
CGAAUGCUGACAUAAGUAACGAUAAAGCGGGUGAAAAGCCCGCUCGCCGGAAGACCAAGGGUUCCUGUCCAACGUUAAUCGGGGCAGGGUGAGUCGACCCCUAAGGCGAGGCCGAAAGGCGUAGUCGAUGGGAAACAGGUUAAUAUUCCUGUACUUGGUGUUACUGCGAAGGGGGGACGGAGAAGGCUAUGUUGGCCGGGCGACGGUUGUCCCGGUUUAAGCGUGUAGGCUGGUUUUCCAGGCAAAUCCGGAAAAUCAAGGCUGAGGCGUGAUGACGAGGCACUACGGUGCUGAAGCAACAAAUGCCCUGCUUCCAGGAAAAGCCUCUAAGCAUCAGGUAACAUCAAAUCGUACCCCAAACCGACACAGGUGGUCAGGUAGAGAAUACCAAGGCGCUUGAGAGAACUCGGGUGAAGGAACUAGGCAAAAUGGUGCCGUAACUUCGGGAGAAGGCACGCUGAUAUGUAGGUGAAGUCCCUCGCGGAUGGAGCUGAAAUCAGUCGAAGAUACCAGCUGGCUGCAACUGUUUAUUAAAAACACAGCACUGUGCAAACACGAAAGUGGACGUAUACGGUGUGACGCCUGCCCGGUGCCGGAAGGUUAAUUGAUGGGGUUAGCGCAAGCGAAGCUCUUGAUCGAAGCCCCGGUAAACGGCGGCCGUAACUAUAACGGUCCUAAGGUAGCGAAAUUCCUUGUCGGGUAAGUUCCGACCUGCACGAAUGGCGUAAUGAUGGCCAGGCUGUCUCCACCCGAGACUCAGUGAAAUUGAACUCGCUGUGAAGAUGCAGUGUACCCGCGGCAAGACGGAAAGACCCCGUGAACCUUUACUAUAGCUUGACACUGAACAUUGAGCCUUGAUGUGUAGGAUAGGUGGGAGGCUUUGAAGUGUGGACGCCAGUCUGCAUGGAGCCGACCUUGAAAUACCACCCUUUAAUGUUUGAUGUUCUAACGUGGACCCGUAAUCCGGGUUGCGGACAGUGUCUGGUGGGUAGUUUGACUGGGGCGGUCUCCUCCUAAAGAGUAACGGAGGAGCACGAAGGUUGGCUAAUCCUGGUCGGACAUCAGGAGGUUAGUGCAAUGGCAUAAGCCAGCUUGACUGCGAGCGUGACGGCGCGAGCAGGUGCGAAAGCAGGUCAUAGUGAUCCGGUGGUUCUGAAUGGAAGGGCCAUCGCUCAACGGAUAAAAGGUACUCCGGGGAUAACAGGCUGAUACCGCCCAAGAGUUCAUAUCGACGGCGGUGUUUGGCACCUCGAUGUCGGCUCAUCACAUCCUGGGGCUGAAGUAGGUCCCAAGGGUAUGGCUGUUCGCCAUUUAAAGUGGUACGCGAGCUGGGUUUAGAACGUCGUGAGACAGUUCGGUCCCUAUCUGCCGUGGGCGCUGGAGAACUGAGGGGGGCUGCUCCUAGUACGAGAGGACCGGAGUGGACGCAUCACUGGUGUUCGGGUUGUCAUGCCAAUGGCACUGCCCGGUAGCUAAAUGCGGAAGAGAUAAGUGCUGAAAGCAUCUAAGCACGAAACUUGCCCCGAGAUGAGUUCUCCCUGACUCCUUGAGAGUCCUGAAGGAACGUU